CAUUAACGAGUAACUGAACAGGUUGUAGCUGGCCUCUCGGGGCAUGUGCACGCCUGGCUCAUCCACUCUUCAACCUCUGUGCACUUGUUGUAGGUCGGUAGAAGAGCGAGCAUCCUCUGAUGCUUUGCUUGGAAGCCUUCCUAUGUUUUACUACAAACGCUUCAGUUUAAGAAUGUCUACCUGCGUAUAACGCAUCUAUAUACAACUUUCAGCAACGGAUCUCUUGGCUCUCGCAUCGAUAAGAACG
rnacentral:misc_RNA from 1 species